rnacentral:misc_RNA from 1 species
GCAAUAUCUUUACAUUUAUAAUAAUCACUUUUUUAAACUUGCAGUUCUGUUAUCUCUACUAUUGUUUAGUUUCGAAAUCAGUAAAGAUUACACCAAAACUGACAAAUGAAUGAAAGGAAAUAGCUAUCUAUUAGAGCAGCUACUGUUGUUUGCUGCAAACUGUAUUUCUGUGGUGCACACAGCUUUCUAUUGUUUGGAUCAUUCUCGCUCCAAAUGCAGACUAAUCGCAUUUCUCUACCUCGAGAAGAAGAGAAUAUCUUGACACAACAUAGCAGCAUUUGGCAUCAAAUGAUCAUUCAAAUCUAGCAGUGGUAUCUGGACUAGAUGUUCAUCUCGAAAGCGGCUUCUGAAGAAGAGCUGUCAAAUAAACUUCCCCAUUCUUCACACCACUAGCAUCAUUCUUAUUAGCCACUGUCCACUUCACCUUCUUGUAGUUCAAUUUCCAGAUCAAGGGUUGAAAAACCUUCUCAAGAUCUGCUCUUUUACUAAAGAAAUGGUCCAACCAGAGGCAUCCACCAGCCCUCAACACUCUAUCAACAUCAAAAAGCAAGAACUCCAUCAUGGUCACUGGAAUCCACCUAUUCACAGCAUGACCACAUCUUACAAGAUCCAGCACCCCAUCAAACACUGGCAGCCUCUGCUGCAAAGGUACAUGUAAAGGCACCAAUCCCCUAAGUGCCACAGUCUCACUAUAAGGGGCACCAAGAUUCAUUGUUGUUGUCACAACAGUCACAUUAUGCAGCUUCAUUUGUGCAGCAAAAGUUCCUGUACCACCCCCAAUAUCGAGUGCCAGCCUAAUAACACUCUUUGAGGUCUUAGUUAGCUGAAGAAACUGUGGAAUUGGGAGAUCUAGAUCUGACUUAAAAUCCAAGAAUUUUGAUUGCUCAACUUUCAUAUCAAAUCCCAAGUUGGGAUUAGACUGAGACAAACAAGAAAAGCUCUUACAAGUGUAAUUAUUCCACAACAAGGCCUUUUCAGGGAUAGUAGAAAAAGGGGUUUUAGGCAAAGAAGCGGGGAUACUAGAAGGGGUUCUUGAAAAACAGCGCCUCCUAGGUAGAGGGUGACACCCUCUAAGAAUAAGAGACUCAGCUACUGAAGAAUCUGAGGGGCAAAGACUAAAGGGUGUGUAGCUCAUAUACUGAUGAAGCAAAUCAGGAUUGUCUUUACAAGAAGAAGCAAUAGGUGAUAAAUGAGUGUAAAGAAGGAGAUCAGAAGGGAUCGUUACUGUAGAUUUCUUAGCUUUACCAGAUGGUGGAGCUGGAGGCUGGAGGCGCGUGAGGUGGUUAAUAGUGGCGCGUAUAGUCUGAAGCUGAUGCAGAAGGUGGUCAGGAACAGGUGGAGCAACAGGGGGCUUGGAUUGGAUGUUGGAAGAGAGAUGAUACAAAGAAAGAAUGUUGGUAGCCACCAUAGCUACCAAAAGAAGCAAAUUUAGACCCAUUGUGAAUCCCAUUUUUGUGGCUCCUGCAAAAUUUUCUUGAUUGCUGAUACACUUUAGAGAGUGUAAAAGCUCAAGAAAAGCAUAAAGUUUUGUGCUUUAUGUUACUUCUACUACUAAAUCUACUAUUACUACCGACUGAGAGAGAGUUGAG